rnacentral:rRNA from 1 species
AGGGAAUUUUCGGCAAUGGGGGGAACCCUGACCGAGCAAUGCCGCGUGAACGAUGAAGGUCUUCGGAUUGUAAAGUUCUGUCAAUGGGGAAGAAUGGUCCGCGCAGUGGAAAAGCGCGGGCGUGACGGUACCUGUUAAGAAAGCCCCGGCUAACUAUGUGCCAGCAGCCGCGGUAAUACAUAGGGGGCAAGCGUUAUCCGGAUUUAUUGGGCGUAAAGAGUGCGUAGGCGGUUGAUUAGGUCAGGCGUAAAAGAUCACAGCUCAACUGUGUAGGGCGUUUGAAACCGAUCGACUUGAAUACGGUAGAGGCAGGCGGAAUUCCAUGUGUAGCGGUGGAAUGCGUAGAUAUAUGGAGGAACACCAAUGGCGAAGGCAGCCUGCUGGGCCGGAAUUGACGCUGAGGCACGAAAGCGUGGGGAGCAAAC